GAUGAACGCUGGCGGCGUGCCUAGUACAUGCAAGUCGAGCGAACGGACGAGAAGCUUGCUUCUCUGAUGUUAGCGGCGGACGGGUGAGUAACACGUGGAUAACCUACCUAUAAGACUGGGAUAACUUCGGGAAACCGGAGCUAAUACCGGAUGAUAUUUUGAACCGCAUGGUUCAAAAGUGAAAGACGGUCUUGCUGUCACUUAUAGAUGGAUCCGCGCUGCAUUAGCUAGUUGGUAAGGUAACGGCUUACCAAGGCAACGAUGCAUAGCCGACCUGAGAGGGUGAUCGGCCACACUGGAACUGAGACACGGUCCAGACUCCUACGGGAGGCAGCAGUAGGGAAUCUUCCGCAAUGGGCGAAAGCCUGACGGAGCAACGCCGCGUGAGUGAUGAAGGUCUUCGGAUCGUAAAACUCUGUUAUUAGGGAAGAACAUAUGUGUAAGUAACUGUGCACAUCUUGACGGUACCUAAUCAGAAAGCCACGGAUAACUACGUG
rnacentral:rRNA from 1 species